rnacentral:rRNA from 1 species
CGUGAAACCGUCCAGGGGUAAACCUGCGAAACUCGAAUGAACGAACGGGGAGAUUCAUCGUCACUCCUCGGCGCACGGGCGUCGGUUCGAUGCUAGUCGAUCUCGGUCGGCGGGCACGCGUCGCGUCCGUCGCGCUCCGGGGACGGCGUGCACUUCUCCCUCAGUAAUAUACAUCGCGACCCGUUCGGCGUCGGUCUAAGUGCCCUCCGGGUGUCUUCGCUUCCUCGCGUCGCGUAGACCGUGAGGUGUCGCCGACCGGCCGUCGGACGGUAGUACGUACGAAACGCGCACGCGCACAUUGCGCGCGUCCGGCCCGACGCAAGGCAACGUCGUAUCCCUCGUCCUGCCCGAGUGCGGACGAGGGUGCGGCGCGCCUGUCGUCGCAGCCGUGCUGUCUCGGACCGUGCGCGAGUCCGUCUGCGA